rnacentral:rRNA from 1 species
UACGUAGGGACCGAGCGUUGUCCGGAAUCAUUGGGCGUAAAGAGCGUGUAGGCGGCUCGCUAAGUCUUGCAUGAAAUCUCGGGGCUCAACCCCGAGCGGUCGUGAGAAACUGGCGGGCUAGAGUGCGGGAGAGGAGAGUGGAAUUCCUGGUGUAGCGGUGAAAUGCGCAGAUAUCAGGAAGAACACCCGUGGCGAAGGCGGCUCUCUGGGACGGUACUGACGCUGAGACGCGAAAGCGUGGGGAGCGAACAGG